rnacentral:misc_RNA from 1 species
GAUGAAGAACGCAGUGAAAUGCGAUAAGUAGUGUGAAUUGCAGAAUUCGGUGAAUCAUCGAAUCUUUGAACGCACAUUGCGCCCCUUGGUAUUCCAUGGGGCAUGCCUGUUCGAGCGUCAUUUGUACCUUCAAGCUCUGCUUGGUGUUGGGUGUUUGUCUCGCCUCUGCGUGUAGACUCGCCUCAAAACAAUUGGCAGCCGGCGUAUUGAUUUCGGAGCGCAGUACAUCUCGCGCUUUGCACUCAUAACGACGACGUCCAAAAGUACAUUUUUACACUCUUGACCUCGGAUCAGGUAGGGAUACCCGCUGAACUUAAGCAUAUCAAUAAGCGGAGGA